CUACGGGAGGCAGCAGUGGGGAAUAUUGCACAAUGGGCGGAAGCCUGAUGCAGCAACGCCGCGUGAGGGAUGACGGCCUUCGGGUUGUAAACCUCUUUUAGCAGGGAAGAAGCGAAAGUGACGGUACCUGCAGAAAAAGCGCCGGCUAACUACGUGCCAGCAGCCGCGGUAAUA
rnacentral:rRNA from 1 species